GGGGGAGAGUUCGACGAUUGACCUCUCUUUUGAGAGAUUCAUUCCUUGGGGUCUCUUCAAGGUCCUAAGUUUUUCGGUAUUUUGAUCUUUUGAUUUUCAGGAGAAACAAGAAGGGGUCAAGGUUGUCGUUCUUUUGAAGUCCAAGAAGAGGUUCUUUUGGUUUUUGGUUUUGUUUCCAAAAUGAAGAUGAAGAACUUUAGCCUUGAUGGAAAAUGGCUGUUAUCACCUCUUUUUUGCAUAGUAUAUUAUAUAGAGUAAAGAUUAGGUCUAUUUUUUGUGUAUUUUGUCAGUUAGUUCCUAGGUCUUUUGUGUUAAGUCCUUAUGGUCUUUUAUUUAUUUUUUGUUCAAUAGAAUAGUCUAGAAGG
rnacentral:lncRNA from 1 species